rnacentral:rRNA from 1 species
UGGUGCCAGCAGCCNNNUUAAUUCCAGCUCCAAUAGCGUAUAUUAAUGUUGUUGCAGUUAAAAAGCUCGUAGUUGGAGUUCUGCCAGGUGACGCUCGUCCGCCCAAGUGGUGUGUACAGGGCGUGCAUCUGGCCCUUUCAAGGGGAACGUGUUGCACUUUAUUGUGUGGCGCGAGAUCCUUGACUUUUACUUUGAGGAAAUAAGAGUGUUCCAAGCAGGCUCUCGUCGUGCAUAGCUCAGCAUGGAAUAAUAGCAUUGGACUUCGUUUCUAUGCUGUUGGUUGCAAGAAGCGAGGUAAUGAUUAAAAGGGACAGUCAGGGGCACUAGUAUUCUGUUGAGAGAGGUGAAAUUCUCAGACCAAUGGAAGACGAACCACUGCGAAAGCAUUUGCCAGGGAUGUUUUCACUGAUCAAGAACGAAAGUUAGGGGAUCGAAGAGGAUCAGAUACCCUCGUAGUCUUAACCAUAAACCAUACCGACUAGGGAUUGGAGGAUGUUCUCUGAAUGACUCCUUCAGCACCUUACGGGAAACUAAAGUCUUUGGGUUCCGGGGGGAGUAUGGUCGCAAGGCUGAAACUUAAAGGAAUUGACGGAAGGGCACCACCAGGUGUGGAGCCUGCGGCUUAAUUUGAC